rnacentral:rRNA from 1 species
AAUGAACGCUGGCGGCAUGCCUAACACAUGCAAGUCGAACGAAGGCUUCGGCCUUAGUGGCGCACGGGUGCGUAACGCGUGGGAAUCUGCCCUUGGGUUCGGAAUAACAGUUAGAAAUGACUGCUAAUACCGGAUGAUGUCGUAAGACCAAAGAUUUAUCGCCCAUGGAUGAGCCCGCGUAGGAUUAGCUAGUUGGUGGGGUAAAGGCCCACCAAGGCGACGAUCCUUAGCUGGUCUGAGAGGAUGAUCAGCCACACUGGGACUGGGACACGGCCCAACCUCCUACGGGAGGCAGCAGUGGGGAAUAUUGGACAAUGGGCGAAAGCCUGAUCCAGCAAUGCCGCGUGAGUGAUGAAGGCCUUAGGGUUGUAAAGCUCUUUUACCCGGGAUGAUAAUGACAGUACCGGGAGAAUAAGCUCCGGCUAACUUCGUGCCAGCCGCCGCCGUAA